ensembl:lncRNA
AAAUGUUAAUAAAUAGAGUUUAAUCCAGUCACAAUGUCUCUGUGUCGUCUUGGUUUAAUCUUUAACCCAGAAUAGAACCGAGCAGAAUCCAUCCUGGUAUUCAGACUAACCAGUAACCAUGACAACAUACUGGCGGGAGCUCCAGGCUGCAGUGUGUACGUCUGGCCACAGGGUGGCGCUGAGGAGAGAGAGAAUGUACUACAUUAUAAACUGGUUGGUUCGAGUGCUGAUUGGCUGAAUGCCAUAGUAUAUCAGACAGUAUACCACAGGUAUGACAAGACAUUUGAUUUUUUUACUGCUCUAAUUACAUUGGUAACCAGUUUAUCAUAGCAACAAGGCACCUCAGGGGUUUGUGGUAUAUGACCAAUAUACCACGGCUAAGGGCUGUGACCAGGCACUCCGCGUUGUGUCGUGCUUAAGAUCAGUCUUUGGUAUAUUGGCCAUAUGCCACCUCCCCUCUGGCCUUAAUGCUUAAAUAUGCAGUUAUAUAUGGUCUCUAUGGAAACAAGGGCCCUUAUACAGCCUACUGUAGGUAGUCUACCUUGGUAGUUAUAUAUGGUCUCUAUGGAAACAAGAGCCCUUAUACAGCCUACUGUAGGUAGUCUACCUUGGUAGUUAUAUAUGGUCUCUAUGGAAACAAGGGUCCUUAUACAGCCUACUGUAGGUAGUCUACCUUGGUAGUUAUAUAUGGUCUCUAUGGAAACAAGAGCCCUUAUACAGCCUACUGUAGGUAGUCUACCUUGGUAGUUAUAUAUGGUCUCUAUGGAAACAAGAGCCCUUAUACAGCCUACUGUAGGUAGUCUACCUUGGUAGUUAUAUAUGGUCUCUAUGGAAACAAGGGCC